rnacentral:tRNA from 1 species
GGCCGGUUAGCUCAGUGGUUUGAGCGCGGUGCUGACAACAAUGACCUACACCGAGGUCGCGGGUUCGUAUUCCCGCUCGGUCC